CAUGUCCGAAGUUAUAGACACUCUACAAUCUAAUAUGCUAAACAUACAACGAAGAUAUUGACAAUGUUAACCUUGAUAUACAAAAACAUCACAUUUAACAGUAUUUCUUGAAAAACCUCUAUAAUUAGGAUUAUAAGUUUGUUAAAUAUAUUCAAUAAAAUCGGGAUGUGAAGGAAAACUAUAAGGUAAACCACAAACAGAAACCAUUUUAGCUAAAUUUUCGCGAUCUCUUUCCUUAUUAUAUUUACGUUGUGUUAGUGGACCACCGGGGUUAGAAGGAUCUAAUGUUCCUUGAACCAUGUUAGAAGCCCCUACCGAUUCAUUAACAUUAAUAUCAAAAUCAUUAACUGAAAUUCCUUUUUUUCUAUCGGCUAAUGNNNN
rnacentral:lncRNA from 1 species